GCCUAACACAUGCAAGUCAGGGGCCGCAAGGCACCGGCGAACGGGUGCGUAACACGUGAGCAAUCUGCCUCGAUGUGGGGGAUAGCCGGCCCAACGGCCGGGUAAUACCGCAUACGCUCUUUUGGUGGCAUCACCUGAAGAGGAAACAUUUUUGGCAUUGAGAGGAGCUCGCGGCCUAUCAGCUAGUUGGUGGGGUAACGGCCUACCAAGGCAUUGACGGGUAGCUGGUCUGAGAGGAUGGCCAGCCACAAUUGGGACUGAGAUACGGCCCAGACUCCUACGGGAGGCAGCAGUGGGGAAUAUUGGACAAUGGGCGAAAGCCUGACGCAGCGACGCCGCGUGGGGGAUGAAGCAUUUCGGUGUGUAAACCCCUGUUGCUCGGGACGAAAAACUGGAUUCUUCCAGUCUGACGGUACCGGGUGAGGAAGCACCGGCUAACUACGUGCCAGCAGCCGCGGUAAU
rnacentral:rRNA from 1 species